rnacentral:ncRNA from 1 species
GGGGGAGUAUGGUUGCAAAGCUGAAACUUAAAGGAAUUGAUGGCACCACCAGAUGUGGAGCCUGCAGCUUAAUUUGACUCAACACAGGAAACCUCACCCAACCCAGACAUGGAAAGGAUUGACAGAUUGAUAGCUCUUUCUCCAUUCUAUGGGUGGUGGUGCAUGGGAGCUCUUAGUUGGUGGAGCGAUUUGCUGGUUCAUUCCAAUAACAAACGAAACUCCUUCAUGCUAACUAGUUUUGCGACCCCUGGCUUCUUAGAGGAACAAGUGGCAACACGAGAUUGAGCAAUAACAGGUCUGUGAUGCCCUUAGAUGUCCGGGGCUGCACGCGCGAUACACUGCAUGUAUCAGUGAUCAGCGUGUGUCUACCCUUUGCCAACAGGUGCGGGUAACCCGCUGAACCCCGUUCGUGAUAGGGAUCGGGCAUUGCAAUUAUGAAGUAAAGUAAAUGUAGGUCAUAAACUCACAUUGAUAAGUCCCUGUCAGUUGUACACACUGCCCGUCACUACCACCGAUUGGAUGGUUUAGUGAGGUCCUCGAAUCUGCCCCUCCAGGGUCGGCCACGGCCGUGGCACAGCACCAAGAAGACAAUCAAGCUUUAAUAUUUAGAGGAAGUAAAAGACGUCACAGGGUUUCUGUAUGUGAACCUGUGGAAG